rnacentral:tRNA from 1 species
GCGGCUUUAGCUCAGUUGGGAGAGCGUCAGACUGAAGAUCUGAAGGUCCUGGGUUCAAUCCGCGGUGGGUACA